GGCGCCGCACCGCGAUCUCGGUUAUCCACGCCCCGGAGCCGCACCCUCGCACCGGCGACGCCGCUCUCAUCCCCCCGGAGCGCCCAGCGCCGCACCCUCCUCCCAACGGGAUCCCCUCUUCCCGGCGCCGCACCCUCCUCCCAACGGGGCGCUCCCUCCUUCCGGCGCCCCACCCUCCUCCCGACGGGGCUUCAUCCUCUCCCGAAGCGGUUUUCUUCCCCAGGUCGCGAUCCGUUUUGCUCCGCCAUUCCUCCCGUCGCCGAUCCGGGUACUGGCGCCGCCCGCGUCCGGUUGCUGGCCAACCCUUGCGUGUCCCCGCAUUCAACGCGACACCGCUCAGUGCUCCCGUCAUUGUUCCACGAGACCAAUCCGUCCUCCCAUCGCCGUCGAUCCUCCUCAGCCUGCCUUCGGAUCAGGGUCAUGUAGCAGCACAUCCCCAAGUUUGCUAUCCCUCCCAUCACCGCGCACUGCCGUUUCCCGUCGAAUCUCCCGCAGGCCGCAGCAGGCACGUCUCCACUGCGCAAAGCUUAGACAUAAUUCCUUUUUUCUUCAAUUUUGCAGAAAGAUUUACUCUAGCUCCUGGGUGGCGGCGCUCAAUCUGAUGAAUCGCUGGGGAACCCCCGCUGGCUCAAGGUUUUCUAUCCGUCCACUUACCUCUCCCACUGGCGUGCACGGCGAGUGCGAUGGCAAUGGCCAGUGGCCACUGGUGGCUAAAGCUGCCUUGAUGCAUGUGUUAUGGAAGAUGAAACGUGAGGCAGCGGAGAGCUGGGGAUGCUAACGUUGAUUUGCUCUGCACAAUUCCUCCAACAUGGAGAUCAGCAACGAGGGCAGGAACAAGCUUUGUGUACUCAAAAGGGACUUCACUUUCCUGAAUUUCUGAAUGCUUCACUGAAUUUGAUUCAGAUUAUGUGUGGCACUGACCGUAAUGCCCCUCUUUUGGAUUCAGUGUGAGGACACAAGCAGCUGGUGGUUAAGCUGGUUUGUACCAGCUGAGAGUCUGAGCUCCCAUGGUGUCUCACUCCGUGAAGAUCAUGGAGCUCAUUGCCAGAGCCAUUGUCGAGCCGUAGUUCAUCAGCUAGGGGCAGAGGAGGUCAUCACAAUAAUCUUUUGUGGCGCCUCCUCUAUUGUUUUACUUACUGUAAUUUCAGCUGUAAGAUUCGUAUGUGCAAAUCCAUGUAUGCCUUUUCUUUAAAGUUUAGUGUAAAUAGUUUGCUAGGAAGCUAGGAAAAAAAUGGCAAUGCUAAGUAAAACAGUGAUUAUGAAGGGUAUUCUAUAGUAUGUACAGCAGCCUUCAAACA